GAUAGAGUUAGAUGCUUUUGAAAAGGAUACCAGAUUCAGAGAUGAUCUUCUGCAUCUCAUCUGCACAGAUUUCUCCUUGAAAGGGAAAGUCAAAGGAUUGACUGACGAGUGCAGAGUAAUGUUCAAGAUAAUCCUUGCUGCUAUCAGUCCAAGAGUUGGAGGGACUGAUACAAUCUCCUGGACGCAUCGUCAUCUGCUUUAUUUCCUUCUGACAAGGAAGAGAGUUAAUCUUGGAGAUUACUUCUUUGAAAGGAUAUGUGAAGCAAUCUUUGCCAGCAAAUCUCAGAGGAAAACAACUAUUGUUUAUCCCAGGCUAUUAUCAGACCUUCUGUAUCAAGGUCAUGUGGUUCAUAACCUUAAGAAGUUUCAUCCUGAACUGGUUUAGAAGAAGUUCUAUCCUGAGAUUCUGAAUGCUAGUUUUCUGUCCAAGAUGCGUUUGAUUGCAUCUAAGCCUGUUGCUCCUCCUCAAGAAUUCUCUGUUAGGCUUGAAGAUCGUCUGUACAUAGAAG
rnacentral:lncRNA from 1 species